UACAGAGGUCCCAAGCGUUGUUCGGAAUUACUGGGCGUAAAGGGCUCGUAGGCGGCCAACUAAGUCGGAUGUGAAAUCCCCAGGCUUAACCUGGGAACUGCAUCCGAUACUGGUUGGCUUGAAUCCGGGAGAGGGAUGCGGAAUUCCAGGUGUAGCGGUGAAAUGCGUAGAUAUCUGGAGGAACACCGGUGGCGAAGGCGGCAUCCUGGACCGGCAUUGACGCUGAGUGAGCGAAAGCCAGGGGAGCAAACGGG
rnacentral:rRNA from 1 species